GCCUGGGUGGCUCAGUCAGUUGAGCAUCUGACUUCAGCUCAGGUCAUGAUCUCACGGUUUGUGGGUUCGAGCCCCGCAUCGGGCU
rnacentral:tRNA from 1 species